AUAAGACUUAACCGUACAUAUUAAUUUAUUAAAUUAUUAAGAAAUUGCUUUUUACCGAUCUUUUUAUUUAAAAAAAAAAUUUUUUUUGCUGUUAUUAAUAAUUUAUUAUACACAAUAUAUAUCAUAUUUUUUUUAAUAUAGAGAUAUUUGUCUUCGUCCAGUCUUAAUAUUAAUAAUCGGUUUAACCUACUGUUAUACCUAUUAUUAUUCUCUUAACAUCCGAAUAUUU